ACCUUCGUGUUGUAAUUGGAAGCAUACUCGAUACGUAUUCGAGAAGUUCAGGGUUCGAAUCCCGGCGAGGGCA
rnacentral:tRNA from 1 species